rnacentral:lncRNA from 1 species
GAGAGCUGGACUAGGUGGCCUUUAAGGGGCCCAUCCCUCUCAAGCAAUUCUAUGAUCCUACAGACAUCGUCUGCAUGUGGCAUGGUUCAAAGGAGGACAUGGAUUAGGACUUCAGCAUUUCUCCUUCCUGGAAAAACACUGAAUUUGUCCAGUAGUUGCUGCAGAGGGAGAGAAAAUCUUUGUGUUGUCUGUGAAGAAGGUGUGAACAGGAACAGAGGGGAUGGCAGAUCUGCUGGAAUAAUGAAUGUUUCAGAUCUCUCUGCUGUGCUCCAGUCUGAUGCAAUGGGCUCCAAAUCUGCACACAUCCUCACUGAGGAAGGCUGGUCUGCCUGGAUUAUUUCUAAGGAUAAUUUUUCAAGGAUCUCCUUCAGCUCGUUAAUCGGCUUGUCACCCAGGUGUACCCUGAGCAUGGAGAUGGUUGGUUGGUGUGAAUUGUUCUUGACAGAUCCCGUAGCCUAGAAUUGCCAUGAGUCUGGGACAUGGCACUUGGAUUCACCAACAGAAAUAACUUUAUCCCAGACUUCAUGUGAGCCCACAUAAAUCACUCUGGCAGGGAAAUGUGAAUCCAUAACAAGGGGAGCUGGAAUGGAGGCAAUUUG